rnacentral:tRNA from 1 species
AGGAUAAUAGUUAAAUAUAACAUUUAAUUUGCAUUUAAAAAGUAUUGAAUCAUCAAUUUAUCUUA